rnacentral:rRNA from 1 species
GAUGAACGCUGGCGGCGUGCCUAAUACAUGCAAGUCGAGCGAACAGACGAGGAGCUUGCUCCUCUGACGUUAGCGGCGGACGGGUGAGUAACACGUGGAUAACCUACCUAUAAGACUGGGAGAACUUCGGGAAACCGGAGCUAAUACCGGAUAAUAUAUUGAACCGCAUGGUUCAAUAGUGAAAGACGGUUUUGCUGUCACUUAUAGAUGGAUCCGCGCCGCAUUAGCUAGUUGGUAAGGUAACGGCUUACCAAGGCAACGAUGCGUAGCCGACCUGAGAGGAUGAUCGGCCACACUGGAACUGAGACACGGUCCAGACUCCUACGGUAGGCAGCAGUAGGGAAUCUUCCGCAAUGGGCGAAAGCCUGACGGAGCAACGCCGCGUGAGUGAUGAAGGUCUUCGGAUCGUAAAACUCUGUUAUUAGGGAAGAACAAAUGUGUAAGUAACUAUGCACGUCUUGACGGUACCUAAUCAGAAAGCCACGGCUAACUACGUG